rnacentral:lncRNA from 1 species
UUUUGGGUUUAGAGUUGAUGUUUUAGGGUUUAGAUUUGAAGUUUUAGGGUUUAGGGUUUAGAGUUGAUGUUUCGCGGUUUAGGGUUUAGAGUUGAUGUUUCAUGGUUUGGGGUUUAAAGUUGAUGAUUUAGGGUUUAGAGUUGAUGCUUUAAGUUUAGAUUAGUUAACCGUAUGUUUUUUUUUGUCAAAGGUAAUCAAAAGGUUAUAAAAGUCUUUUACCCUUCAUUAAAGAUGAGGGUAAAAGUGGUUAGUGUAAACAUGAAAAGUGGUACUUUGAAUAUGGUAUUUUUGGCAAUUUCCAUAUAAUAUUCCCUAGUAAUUG